UACGGAGGGUGCGAGCGUUGUCCGGAUUUAUUGGGUUUAAAGGGUGCGUAGGCGGCCUUAUAAGUCCGGGGUGAAAGCCCGUUGCUCAACAACGGAACUGCCCUGGAUACUGUGAGGCUUGAGUACAGACGAGGUUGGCGGAAUGGACCGAGUAGCGGUGAAAUGCAUAGAUACGGUCCAGAACCCCGAUUGCGAAGGCAGCUGACUAGGCUGUUACUGACGCUGAGGCGCGAAAGCUAGGGUAGCAAACGGG
rnacentral:rRNA from 1 species